UGGGAACCUGCCCAGUGGUAGGGGAUAACCGCGGGAAACUGCGGCUAAUACCCUAUGUGCCUUGCGGGGCAAAGAUUUGUCGCCAUUGGAGGGGCCCGCGUCGGAUUAGGUAGUUGGUGGGGUAACGGCCUACCAAGCCUACGAUCCGUAGCUGGUCUGAGAAGAUGAUCAGCCACACUGGGACUGAGAUACGGCCCAGACUCCUACGGGAGGCAG
rnacentral:rRNA from 1 species